rnacentral:RNase_P_RNA from 1 species
GAAAGCAGGCGAGGUGGUCGCAAUCGGAGUUGCCUGCAGCUGCCGGUUGAGGAAAGUCCGGGCUCCCCAAUGGCCAGGCUUGCUGGGUAACGCCCAGUGCGGGUGACCGUGAGGACAGUGCCACAGAAACACACCGCCGAUGGCAGGGGGCUCGCCCCCCGCACAGGUAAGGGUGCAAGGGUGCGGUAAGAGCGCACCAGCAGCAUCGAGAGGUGCUGGCUAGGUAAACCCCGGCUGGGAGCAAGGCCCAGGAACCAUGGUUGGCCAUUAACCGGUUCCGCUAAAAGUGCGCCGCUCGAGGCCGUUGGUAACAACGGUCCCAGAUAGAUGAUUACCCCGGGCAAUGGCUUGCCUUUGCUUCGGAACAGAACCCGGCUUAUGUCCUGCUUUCCCCC